GGUGUGUGUGUGUGUGUGUGUGUGUGUGUGUCUGACCAGGAGCAGCUUCAGCACACACGCACGUGCCUGC
rnacentral:pre_miRNA from 1 species